GUGCAGUUUCCCUGUCCCACUUAGUCCUGCAAUGUAAAACAUUGCCGUUUUUGAGAAACUGCAAUUACUAUUUUGCAGCACUAAGACUGCCUCCAGUGGCUGAGUGAGGUGCUUCCAUUUCUGAGUCCCUUAAACGGUGCUGGACAUCCUCACGCUGUGCAUGAAGACACCCAGCAUCAGUGAAAUCCCCAUGGGAAAGCAGUCAGGCAAUGCUUUCCUAGUG